GAUGAACGCUGGCGGCGUGCUUAACACAUGCAAGUCGAACGGAGAUAGUUAAAGGAAGUUUUCGGACGGAAUUUAAAAUCUUAGUGGCGGACGGGUGAGUAACGCGUGGGUAACCUGCCUCAUACAGGGGGAUAACACUUAGAAAUAGGUGCUAAACCGCAUAAGCGCACGGAGUCGCAUGACUCAGUGUGAAAAACUCCGGUGGUAUGAGAUGGACCCGCGUCUGAUUAGCUAGUUGGUGAGGUAACGGCCCACCAAGGCGACGAUCAGUAGCCGGCCUGAGAGGGUGAACAGCCACAAGGGGACUGAGACACGGCCCUU
rnacentral:rRNA from 1 species